rnacentral:rRNA from 1 species
UAAAGUUAAUUAUUUUAGGUGAAUUUUUUAUAUUAAAAUUAUUUAUAAUUAAAUUUUGGAUUUUAUUAAUUUAGUUUUGAAAAAAUUAGUAGGUUAUUUGAGAGUUUAUUAGUAUUGAUAAAGAAUUUAAAUUUAAAUUUUUAAAAGAAAAUUUUAUUUAUUGUAUCUUGGGUUUCAGAGUUAAUUAAAUUUAAAAAUUAUUUUAUUUUUCUUGAAAAAUAAAGAUUUAAUUAAAUAUUUAAUUUUAUGUUUAAAUAUUUUAAUAUAGGAAAGAUUUAUUAAUAUUUAAUUGGAAAUUAUAAGUUAAAAUCGUUUUAUUUUAUAUCUAGUUUUUUUAGAAAUAAAUUUAAUUUAAUUUUUUAAAAAAUUUAUAUUAAUUUAAUUAUUUAAAAUGAUUUUAAUAAAUGAAAUAACUUUUGGGAUAAGCUUGAAGUUAAAAUAUUUAUAUUCCAUGUUUUGUUUUAUAAUUAAUUUAAUAUAAUUUAUAUUUUUAUUUAAUUUUAAUUUAUUAAAUUGAAGUUUAAUUAAUAAUAUGUAUUUAGAUUUAUUUUAAUUUUUAAUAUAUUAAUAAAUUUAUAAAGAUUUUGAAUUUAAUAUUAGCUUUUAAUUAAUUAUGAUUGAAUUAUUAUAGAAUAAGAAAAAAUAAAUUUAUAAUUAUAUUAAUUUUAAUUUAUUAAUAAUAUUUUUAUGAAUUCGGCAAAUUUAAAGUUCAACUGUUUAUCAAAAACAUUUUUUUUUGUUUUAUAUAAAAAAUAUAAUCUGCCCACUGAAUAUUUAUAUUUUAAAGGGCUGCAGUAUUUUAACUGUACUAAGGUAGCAUAAUAAAUUGUUUUUUAAUUAAGAACUGGUAUGAAUGAUUGAAUGAAACUUUUACUUUUUUAAUUUAUUAAUUUAAAUAAAAUUUUAUAUUUUAGUAAAAAAGCUAAGAUUAAUUUAAAAGACGAGAAGACCCUAUAGAUUUUUAUAUUUAGAUUAAUUUAAAUAAAUAUAAUUUAAUAUUUUAUUGGGGUGAUAAAAAAAUUUAUUUAACUUUUUUUAUUUUAAUCAAUUAAUUUUAUUUGAUUUUAAGAUUUAUAAUAAAUUUAAUUUUUAUUUAAUUAAAUUACCUUAGGGAUAACAGCAUAAUAUUAAUUUAAAGAUGUUAUUUAAAUUAGUGAUUUUGACCUCGAUGUUGGAUUAAAAUAAAAUUUUUAUGAAGUUAUAAUUAAUUUUAGUCUGUUCGACUAUUAAAAUUUUACAUGAUCUGAGUUCAGACCGGUGUGAGCCAGGUUGGUUUCUAUCUUUUUAUAAUUAUUGAAUUGAUUUAUAGUACGAAAGGAAUUAAAUUGUUAAUUUAAAUUAUUAAUAUUUAGUGGAGUAGAA